rnacentral:rRNA from 1 species
GAUGAACGCUGGCGGCGUGCUUAAUACAUGCAAGUCGGGCGGGCAGACGAGGAUCUUGCUCCGGUGACGUGAGCGACGCGCGGGUGAGUGACCCGUGGAUGACCUACCUAGAAGACUGGGGUAGCUUCUGGACAGCGGACUGAAGAGCGGAUAAAAGGAUGAACCGCAGGGGGCAACAGUGAAUGACUGUUUUGCUGGCGAGGAUAGAUGGAUCCGCGGCGCGUUAGCGAGUUGGUAAGGUAACGGCUUACCAAGGCAAUGAUGCGUAGCCGACCUGAGCGGGUGUUAGGCGCCACUGGAACUGAGACACGGUCCAGACUCCUACGGGAGGACGCAGUAGGGACUCUUCCGCAAUGGGCGAAAGCAUGACGGAGCAACGCGGGGUGAGUGAAGAAGGUCUUCGGAUCGUAAAACUGUGUUAUUAGGGAAGGACAACUGUGUAAGUCAGUAUGCACGUAUUGACGGUACCUAAUCAGAAAGCCACGGCUAACUACGUG